CACGUAGGCACCAAGCGUUGUCCGGAUUUAUUGGGCGUAAAGAGCUCGUAGGCGGUUCGGUAAGUCGGGUGUGAAAACUUUGGGCUUAACCCAAAGCGUGCAUCCGAUACUGCUGUGACUUGAGUUCGGUAGGGGAGUGGGGAAUUCCUAGUGUAGCGGUGAAAUGCGCAGAUAUCAGGAGGAACACCAGUGGCGAAGGCAGGCUCUGGGCCGUACUGAC
rnacentral:rRNA from 1 species